CCCUUAACUUAUUUUUUGGUUUCGUUUUGGUCCCUUAACUUAUUUUUUGGUUUCGUUUUAGUCCCUUAACUUAUUUUUUGGUUUCAUUUUGGUCCCUUAACUCUAAUACAUUCAUCCUAACAUAAAGGACCAAAGUGGUUGACGGAGAAAGAGUUAAGGGACCAAAACGAAACCAAAAAUUAAGUUAAAGGACCAAAACAAAACUUUUAAUUGUUAAGAGACCAAAACGAAACCAAAAAGUAAGUUAAGGGACUAAAACGAAACUUUUAAUAGUUAAAGGA
rfam:Medicago truncatula strain A17 chromosome 8, whole genome shotgun sequence.